rfam:Loxodonta africana unplaced genomic scaffold scaffold_12, whole genome shotgun sequence.
UUGGUUUCUUUACAGGUCCACCAGAUCACAGGCAAUGCUGCUGGUCACUAGAAGAGGAAACCAGAUCUCCUGAAUACUUGAAAUCUCUGAUUGAAGACUGGUCUCAGCACUUUGGUGGCAGUUGAGCUCCUGGAGAAAGCUGGGCAGCCCCAGCUACAGUGAGGAGAGAGCUGAGGGGCUAGAGAGCCAGGCCGUUCACUGGGGCACUUCAAAGCACAGGGAAGGAGCCUCAGAUGGACUCAGAGGAGUGCUCCAUUGCCUGAAGACCUGUGGCCCGUGGUGGCGGUGG